rnacentral:lncRNA from 1 species
GGAAACUGGAUGUUCUCCUAAAACAGCCACCUAGCCAAGCUGAACCAACAGAGAUGUAUUGAUCACCGGGUCAAUGGAACUAGGUGGGUGCUGGGGGGAAAGUCAGCAGGUAAGUCAGGUGAGGACUGCCUCCCUUCCACUCCCCACCCAGAGACUGAAGACAGACAGACAGACAGAGGCGUUCAUUCAGAAAGAAGUAGGAGGGCUUCAGGGAUUCAGCGGAGGAGACUGAAAGCCUGAGAGACGAUGCCUCUGAGAAGGUUACAGACCUUGGGAGAAAGCGCUUUCACCUCCUCACCACAGACACUCUCGACUGUGGACUCAGGACACUAAGCCAGAAAGGUGACGAUUUCCUUCUUGAACCCGGCCUGCAUCAGCAGCUCAGACCCAGGGCUCCGGGUCCUUUGCUCUAUGUCCAGUGCUCUUUUUGCUCCCUCACACACUUAGCGAUGGCAGUGUUCUUAGUAUACUCAAAGAGCUUUGUAAUGAAUUAGAGCAGCCAUUCCCAACCUUCCUAGUGCUGCGGUCCUUUAAUACAGUUUCUUAAGUUGUGGCGAACCAUCCCCCCCACCCCCAACCAUAACAUUAUUCUUGCUGCUGCUGUUAUGAAUCGUAAUGAAACAUUUGAUCUGCAGUACAUCUGAUAUGUGAUUCCCGAGAAAGGGCCAUCAUAUUCCAAGGGAUCGGGACCCACAGCGUGAGAAGCCCUGAACUAGAGAUCCGCCUAAACUGAGAAACAACCUAGCACCUAUCCCAGCCCAUCAAUGUUGUAUAUGGCAACAGAUUCAAAAGCCCAGACUAAAACAUACUCACCAUCCAUGUUACCAGCUCUCACCAUGGGGCAGCAAUGUGGAUUUAGUAAGCAUAGCCCACGGGCACUCAUUUUGAAGACACUAGGAGAACUUCAAAGCCAGGUUUGUUCUUCUGCCUCUGGUGACAUUUUUAAAAUUUCAGCACUGUUUUUUUUUUUAAUUGAUUCUUUGUGAAUUUCAUAUCAUGCACCUCAGUCCUGCACAUCUCCUGUCCCCUCCCUCCCUCCAACCUCCACCCUUCCCCAACAAAGAAAAAUAAGUCCCCACUAUGGAAGCUGUAGUGUGCCAUCGUGUGUCCUUUUGUCCACACUUCUUUGCUUGCAAGUGCUCAUUGCAUUGACUUUGUUGGUCUGGUACGAGUCAGGCCUCUGGCUUCUGCUAUGCUAACGAUGCUAGAACCUUACUGAGACUCCUCUAGGGUAGACUGUUGUCACCCCGUGUGUCAUGGAGACCCUGUAGUUUUGGAUCUGCAGGACUGGCUUCUUCACGUACUCCAGCAGUUCAUUGAUGGGAUAGACGUGGGGUGGGCUAACUCAAAGCCCUGGAUCUGGGCCUGAGAGGUGUCUGAGCUGCUCAGCCCACCAGCUCUCCAGUUCUUGUGGCCUUUGGAUUGGCUCGCCAGCAACCCCCUCUCCCAGGGCUAGCUCUCCUGGCUGACCAGGAACCUGACAAGACUGACUAGCCAUCUCUAGCAUUCAGAUAGGUGGAACUUCAUUGUGCUGAAGUUAUGUUUGAGCACCCUCUGCUGGACAAAUCAGAUGCUCUAUGACUACCAACAAUGUACCAGUGGUAUUCGUCUCUUGCAGAUCUGGAAGAAAAUGAAAUUUAGGUACAUACAGUCACGAACAGAUACCUAGAUGACACAUUUAAAACCCUCAAACACAGUGGAGAUGAGACCAGCAUAAUAUUAAGCUCUUCUCCCUCACAAACACCUGUGCUACCCACACUCACAGGCAAAAAAAAUAUACACAACUGCCAGACUGCAAUGCCUCCCAAUUUAUUGGCCAAAUCUAGAUUCUGCUAGCCCUGUAUAUUCACUCAGAAAGCCAGGCUUCAGACACACCAUGAGUGAUGAGAAAUCCAUUUCAUCAGCAGAGGCAUCUUGCCUAUCUUCAGGAAGCCUACAGACUUCCAGGGAAGCAGGGGGGAAAUCAAGACGUGUCUGACUAUGAGCUGGGGUAAGGGAAGCCUCCGUGUGAAGAUGUGACCUAGUUAGGACAGCUGCCGGAAAGCAGGACUGGCAAGCUUGGUGGUUUGUACACCGGGCCUUGGGAGACUUGGGACACAAACACGAGGUCUUCUGAGGAUGUUUGUGAGUUGCUGGGUUACACAAAAAGAUUCUAGCUCAACAAGCAAAGAAGCGAAGGGGAGGGAAGGGGAGGAAAGGGAGGAGAAGAAAGGAAGUGGGAAGAGAAAAUGGGGCCAAGAAAAGCCCCAAACAUCCCAUAAGCACCCAGAACAGUGUCCCCACCGCGAACCAACCGGGAACCAAAGUGUUCACACCAGAUGAGCUCGUGGAAGGGCUUUUUGCCAAUUGUUCAUGGGUCCCCAGUGAUGAUGGAAUAUUGCGACUUACGUUUCAACCGUUUAAAAAUUUACUGUUAUUAUUUAUGCAUUUCAGUGUUUUGUCUGUUACACGCUCUGUAACUCCAGUUGCAGAAAAUGUAAAACUUUUCUGCCCCCUCCCCCUCCGGCAACCGGGCACAGACAUUUACGGGAGGCUGUGGCUACUUUAGGAGAUGUGAGCGAGCAGUCUCCUUCCUGCUGCUGCAGCUGCAAGCUGCUCCUGCCGCCCAUGCCUUCUCUACUGCCAUGCCUUCCCUACCACAAGGGCCAGAACUCUCACACUGAAAGCCAGAAUAAAUCCUUCCUCUCUUCGGUUGGUUGUUGUCAGGUAAUUGGUCCCAACCAUGGUAAAGCUUAGUGGAAAAGAAAAAAAAGGUAAAAAUCUAUUGUAGACUGAGUGCCCUGAAUCAGAAAACACACAGUCCAGCUGCUCUGAAAUCUAAGCAUCAUCGUGACACUACAAAGAGAAAACUCCAUAUCUGACCACACAUGAGAAUCUACUGAUGAAUACAACCAUGGGUUUACUAAAAAAAGGUGUAUAAAAUGAUCUUCAAGCUGCUCGUAUAAGAUAGGUAUGAAGUGUAAAUUGAAUUUUGGGUCUGACCCCCUAACAUAUUUUCCUGCGUGAAUACAAAUUCCCUCAAGUCCAAAUAACCCCACACUUGGGCGUUUCAGAUAGGGGAUACCCAAUCUGUAAGCCGUUUACUGCCAUAGAGAAGCUAUGAUGCAAGCAGAGCCUACUAACAACUUGGCCAAAACACUUCUAAUAACAGAACUUCACAUGGGUUUCCAUGAGGUCAGAAUGGAAGUAGGAGGAUACAUUGUUUGACGUCAUGGUAUCUGUCCAAUUAAGGUCUGUGUGAGCCUUCCAUCACCAUAACAAAACACAGAACAGAAUCAGCUUUUUAAGGGGGCUUAUUUUGGAUUAUGGUUGCAUAGGAAGAUAUAUAGAUAGGAUCUCCAUGCCAAUAUUUUUAAUGGGUGCUGUCUCUAUUGCUCUGGGCAGGAGAAGGCAGCAGCUGGCAUCAAUGGUGUGGUGAGGAGAGAAUCAAGUUUCCUUCUCCAGUUCAAACAGACGAAAGUGAAGCGACAUAGGCUCAAGGACAGGGUCACUGGGCUAGCGCCACACCAUGGAGCCAAACCCCGAGCCUUCUAAAUUGUGAGCUGGGCAUGGUGGUUCACCCCAGGAAUCGCAGCACUGAGGGAUGAAGGCGAGAGAGUCACUGUGGGUGUGACAUCAGUCUGGCCUGAAGUCUGAGACUGUUUUUUUAAAAAGAAAACAUUUUUUUAUGUCAUAUAUUUAAUUAUAUAAAGAUUCUGUUGUUUUGUUGUUGUUGUUGUUAAAAUUCAGCCAGGAAAUUUCCAUCUGUCUGGUGUUAAUUGGUUGUUUUUCAGCACUAAUUGGGAAAUGAUAUAUUUUUAUUGUUUUAUAAAUAGAGUAAAACCCCUCAGAAACUGCUGGGGAAAUUUAAACAAGGAAAGCAAUUCUAUGUCCUUGCUUGACACCAGUUUGUCCCAGAGGUGACACAACUGUGUAGUUUUUGAAAACACUGGGCAUUUAUAUAUAUAUGAGACAAAACCCCACUGUAUAGCCCUGGCUAACUCGAAACUCACUAUGUAAAUCAGGCUGGGCUUUGACACACAGAGCUCUGCCUUUGCCUACUCAGUGUUGGGAUUUAACACCCACACCACCAUAGCCAGCCUUCUCUCCAAGGGGCAAAUUUCUUUCUGAAGCAACUUCCUCAUUUAUUAACAGUAUUGCUUCCAGACCCCGUGUGUGUGUGUGUGUGUGUGUGUGUGUGUGUGUGUGUGUGUACAGAUAUGUGUUUGCAAGUAUUUAGACACAAGUUGAUGCAGACUACACCAGUUUCAUGAAAUUGUUCCCAUGUCAGUGGCUAGUCUGAGCCUUUUGUACUUGUAAACAGCUGGCUGUAAACUGGGGAUUCCCAUACUCUCCUCUUCAGCCCCAUAAUUAUCAUGGUGAUUUGCAACCUGUAGGUAAUGACCCGUUUGGCUCAUAUAUCAGAUAUUCUGCAUGUCAGAUAUUUAUAUUUUGAUUCAUAACAAUAGUAAAAUUAUAGUUAUGAAGUAGUAAUGUAAAUAGUUACACUGUGGGGGUCACCACAACACGAGGAACUGUGUUAAAUGGCUUCAGCAAUAGGAAGGUUGAGAGCCACUGAUUUAUUAGGUCAUUUCAUGGAUCGUGGGGAUGCUUUCUACUUUCAUCUAUUGUUUAUUACAAAAGAUGUAGACAGACAGAUAGAUAGACAGACUCACAGAUAAAUAGAAAAAUAGAUGACAGAAAGAUAGAAAGUUAGGUAAAAAGAUAAAAAGAUAGGUAGAUGCUAGAAAGAUAGAUAGACUCAAAGACAAAUAGAAAGAUAGAUAAUAGAGAAAGGUGGAAAGAAAAAUAGAUAGAUGAUGGAAAGAUAGGUAGAUAGACUGACAGAAUGA